GACGAACGCUGGCGGCGUGCUUAACACAUGCAAGUCGAACGGAAAGGCCCUGCUUUUGUGGGGUGCUCGAGUGGCGAACGGGUGAGUAACACGUGAGUAACCUGCCCUUGACUUUGGGAUAACUUCAGGAAACUGGGGCUAAUACCGGAUAGGAGCUCCUGCUGCAUGGUGGGGGUUGGAAAGUUUCGGCGGUUGGGGAUGGACUCGCGGCUUAUCAGCUUGUUGGUGGGGUAGUGGCUUACCAAGGCUUUGACGGGUAGCCGGCCUGAGAGGGUGACCGGCCACAUUGGGACUGGGAUGCGGCCCAGACUCCUACGGGAGGCAGAAGUGGAGAAUAUUGCACAAUGGGCGGAAGCCUGAUGCAGCAACGCCGCGUGCGGGAUGACGGCCUUCGGGUUGUAAACCGCUUUCGCCUGUGACGAAGCGUGAGUGACGGUAAUGGGUAAAGAAGCACCGGCUAACUACGUG
rnacentral:rRNA from 1 species